UUCUCUCGUUUUAGCAACAUUUUACAAGAAAAUGUUUUCGUGAGACUAGUAUUGUUCAUUUUGGUUUACUACUUCAUUGUCAGUAUAUAAGAUUUUGAUGUUAACCAUGGUUUCAUUUAAAUCCAAAAUACGUAUUUUAUUACCGUAUUCAUGUUUAGUUAGUGCUUUUUAACAGAUAGAUCAGUAUUUUUCUUUAUGGAUGAUAAGGAUUGCAUUCUUGUAGUUCAUAUGGCAUUGUUAUUGGAGUCGGAAUCUCUAGAAUGAUCGCGUUAAGUAUUAAUUAGUUCAAACUAAUAUUAAAUACUUUAGUUCUUAUAUCAUCGUUUUUUUUUAGUUACUUUCAUGUAGUAAAACGACACCAGUUUCACUUGUAACUAAAAUUAAAACUAUGUUCUAUUUGUAGCAUUUGUCAUAAAAUUUUAUAAAAUUAACAAUUGGCAGACUAGUAUUGUUAAAAAACGAAAGUAUAGAAAACCGAUCAAGCUCGAGCGCGUGGAGUGAGAAACUUAGUUACUUACUUCUCUCGUUUUGGCAACAUUUUACAAGAAAAUGUUUUCAUGUGGUUAGUAUUGCUCAUUUUGGUUAACCAUGGUUUCAUUUAAAUCUGAAAUACGUGUUUUAUUUCCGUAUUCAUGUUUAGUUAGUGCUUUUUAACAGAUAGAUCAGUAUUUUU